ensembl:lncRNA
GUGUGUGUACAGUAUGUGUGUACAGUGUGUGUGUGUGUGUACAGUAUGUGUGUAUGUACAGUAUGUGUGUGUACAGUAUGUGUGUGUGCGCAUGUGUACAGUAUGUGUGUACAGUGUGUGUGUACAGUAUGUGUGUACAGUGUGUGUGUACAGUAUGUGUGUGUGUGCAUGUGUACAGUAUGUGUGUACAGUGUGUGUGUGUACAGUAUGUGUGUGUAUGUGUACAGUAUGUGUGUACAGUAUGUGUGUGUGCAUUGUGUGUACAGUAUGUGUGUGUAUGUUGUGUGUACAGUAUGUGUGUGUGUACAGUAUGUGUGUGUAUGUGUACAGUAUGUGUAUGUACAGUGUGUGU